rnacentral:rRNA from 1 species
CCUACGGGUGGCAGCAGUGGGGAAUAUUGCACAAUGGGGGAAACCCUGAUGCAGCAACGCCGCGUGAAGGAAGACGGUUUUCGGAUUGUAAACUUCUGUUCUUAGUGAAGAAUAAUGACGGUAGCAGAGGAGGAAGCUCCGGCUAACUACGUGCCAGCAGCCGCGGUAAUACGUAGGGAGCAAGCGUUGUCCGGAUUUACUGGGUGUAAAGGGUGCGUAGGCGGCUUUGCAAGUCAGAAGUGAAAUCCAUGGGCUUAACCCAUGAACUGCUUUUGAAACUGCAGAGCUUGAGUGGAGUAGAGGUAGGCGGAAUUCCCGGUGUAGCGGUGAAAUGCGUAGAGAUCGGGAGGAACACCAGUGGCGAAGGCGGCCUACUGGGCUCUAACUGACGCUGAGGCACGAAAGCGUGGGUAGCAAACAGGAUUAGAUACCCUGGUAGUC